rfam:Camelus ferus unplaced genomic scaffold scaffold674, whole genome shotgun sequence.
GAGGGUAUAGUUCAGUGGCAGAGCCUGUGCCUAGCAUGCAUGAGGGCCUGGGUUCAAUCCCCAGUAUCUCCA